rnacentral:snRNA from 1 species
GGACCCGGACAGUCUAAAA